GAAACUUGAGCUAAUACCGUAUGUGCCCUUCGGGGGAAAGAUUUAUCGCCAUUGGAGCGGCCCGCGUCUGAUUAGCUAGUUGGUGAGGUAAAGGCUCACCAAGGCGACGAUCAGUAGCUGGUCUGAGAGGAUGAUCAGCCACAUUGGGACUGAGACACGGCCCAAACUCCUACGGGAGGCAGCAGUGGGGAAUCUUGCGCAAUGGGCGAAAGCCUGACGCAGCCAUGCCGCGUGAAUGAUGAAGGUCUUAGGAUUGUAAAAUUCUUUCACCGGGGACGAUAAUGACGGUACCCGGAGAAGAAGCCCCGGCUAACUUCGUGCCAGCAGCCGCGGUAAUACGAAGGGGGCUAGCGUUGCUCGGAAUUACUGGGCGUAAAGGGAGCGUAGGCGGACAUUUAAGUCAGGGGUGAAAUCCCGGGGCUCAACCUCGGAAUUGCCUUUGAUACUGGGUGUCUUGAGUAUGAGAGAGGUGUGUGGAACUCCGAGUGU
rnacentral:rRNA from 1 species